rnacentral:rRNA from 1 species
AGAGUUUGAUCAUGGCUACAGAACGAACGCUGGCGGCAGGCUUAACACAUGCAAGUCGAACGGGUGUAGCAAUACAUCAGUGGCAGACGGGUGAGUAACACGUGGGAACCUUCCUAGGGGUACGGAACAACUCAGGGAAACUUGAGCUAAUACCGUAUACGUCCGUGAGGAGAAAGAUUUAUCGCCCUUAGACGGGCCCGCGUCGGAUUAGCUAGUUGGUGGGGUAACGGCCUACCAAGGCGACGAUCCGUAGCUGAUCUUAGAGGAUGAUCAGCCACACUGGGACUGAGACACGGCCCAGACUCCUACGGGAGGCAGCAGUGGGGAAUCUUGGACAAUGGCGCAAGCCUGAUCCAGCCAUGCCGCGUGAGUGAAGAAGGUCUUCGGAUUGUAAAGCUCUUUUGCCAGGGACGAUAAUGACGGUACCUGGAGAAUAAGCCCCGGCAAACUUCGUG